AUACUUACCUGACAAGGGAGAUACCAUGAUCACGAAAGUGGUUUUCCCAAGGUGAGGCUUAUCCAUUGCACUCUGGAUGUGCUGACCCCUGUGACACCCAACUCCCAAGAGAAAAUAAAGGCACCUAAGGAAUAGUAAUAA
rnacentral:snRNA from 1 species